rnacentral:rRNA from 1 species
CCUACGGGCGGCAGCAGUGAGGAAUAUUGGUCAAUGGACGCAAGUCUGAACCAGCCAUGCCGCGUGCAGGAUGACGGCUCUAUGAGUUGUAAACUUCUUUUGUACGAGGGUAAACCCCGAUACGUGUAUCGGUUUGAAAGUAUCGUAUGAAUAAGGAUCGGCUAACUCCGUGCCAGCAGCCGCGGUAAUACGGAGGAUCCGAGCGUUAUCCGGUUUUAUUGGGUUUAAAGGGUGCGUAGGGGGUUUGAUAAGUUAGUGGUGAAAUGUUGGGGCUCAACCCAAAACUGCCUCUAAUACUGUUAGACUUGAGUACAGUUGAGGUAGGCGGAAUGUAUGGUGUAGCGGUGAAAUGCUUAGAGAUCAUACAGAACACCGAUUGCGAAGGCAGCUUACCAAACUAUAUCUGACGCUGAGGCACGAAAGCGUGGGUAGCAAACAGGAUUAGAUACCCGAGUAGUC